AACGAACGCUGGCGGCAGGCUUAACACAUGCAAGUCGAACGCCCCGCAAGGGGAGUGGCAGACGGGUGAGUAACGCGUGGGAACAUACCCUUUCCUGCGGAAUAGCUCCGGGAAACUGGAAUUAAUACCGCAUACGCCCUACGGGGGAAAGAUUUAUCGGGGAAGGAUUGGCCCGCGUUGGAUUAGCUAGUUGGUGGGGUAAAGGCCUACCAAGGCGACGAUCCAUAGCUGGUCUGAGAGGAUGAUCAGCCACAUUGGGACUGAGACACGGCCCAAACUCCUACGGGGAGGCAGCAGUGGGGAAUAUUGGACAAUGGCGCAAGCCUGAUCCAGCCAUGCCGCGUGAGUGAUGAAGGCCUUAGGGUUGUAAAGCUCUUUCACCGGAGAAGAUAAUGACGGUAUCCGGAGAAGAAGCCCCGGGCUAACUUCGUGCCAGCAGCCGCGGUAAUACGAAGGGGGCUAGCGUUGUUCGGAAUUACUGGGCGUAAAGCGCACGUAGGCGGAUAUUUAAGUCA
rnacentral:rRNA from 1 species